CAGAUCAACAACAUGUGUUUCUGCAUAGUGUAAUCGUCGGAUUGAUUUAAGGCUGACUGGCUUUCAGAAGAUAAAUGACAUAUCAAAGGUGCAGUCCGAAGCGACAGGUCACAAAGAAAGGCAACUGACAUAUAGCAGAAGGAAGAGGUGCUACCAAGGAAUUAAAAAAAACUACAGAAAUAUAAUUUGCUCUGGAAAAAAUAUCCCUUCUGGGAAAGUUGGAUCUGUAAAACGGAUGGGCAGACAGCAGCAAUUUUACUCUACUCUUCUCCUGUAAAAGUUAAUUAGCUUUAAAGCCAUAUGGGAGAUAGUCCAGAAAACACAGAAGCAAAGAUUCACAAUCAGGAUAAACUGGUCAUGAAAGUUUUAUGAAA